AUCACAGAGCAACAACAUCCAGCUGUAAAAAAGGGCUCAGAGUUGCUGUCAUAGUGCAAGCAAGAUCAUAGUUUUGCAGUAAAUUUUAGCAGGAGUGCUGCUGACAGGAGAUGAAGUAAUGGUAGAUGGCAUCCUCAGUAAAACAGAAAGGACUGAAGACAAAACUGUAUGUUGGGCAGCAGGCAGGUUUUUCCAAGGCAGAUAUGAUGCAAGGGAGCUGCCAGACAGACAGAGAAGAUGGACAUGUUCAAUAAUUUUUUUCUCUAAAGAUAAUUGCAAACUUCUGUUCUGUUAAAAGAGAUCUUCUCAAG
rnacentral:lncRNA from 1 species